GGCUUAGAGUUUGAUCAUGGCUCAGGAUGAACGCUAGCUACAGGCUUAACACAUGCAAGUCGAGGGGCAGCAUGAACUUAGCUUGCUAAGUUUGAUGGCGACCGGCGCACGGGUGAGUAACACGUAUCCAACCUGCCGAUGACUCGGGGAUAGCCUUUCGAAAGAAAGAUUAAUACCCGAUGGCAUAGUUCUUCCGCAUGGUGGAACUAUUAAAGAAUUUCGGUCAUCGAUGGGGAUGCGUUCCAUUAGGUUGUUGGCGGGGUAACGGCCCACCAAGCCUUCGAUGGAUAGGGGUUCUGAGAGGAAGGUCCCCCACAUUGGAACUGAGACACGGUCCAAACUCCUACGGGAGGCAGCAGUGAGGAAUAUUGGUCAAUGGACGAGAGUCUGAACCAGCCAAGUAGCGUGAAGGAUGACUGCCCUAUGGGUUGUAAACUUCUUUUAUACGGGAAUAAAGUGAGGCACGUGUGCCUUUUUGUAUGUACCGUAUGAAUAAGGAUCGGCUAACUCCGUGCCAGCAGCCGCGGUAAUACGGAGGAUCCGAGCGUUAUCCGGAUUUAUUGGGUUUAAAGGGAGCGUAGGCGGACGCUUAAGUCAGUUGUGAAAGUUUGCGGCUCAACCGUAAAAUUGCAGUUGAUACUGGGUGUCUUGAGUACAGUAGAGGCAGGCGGAAUUCGUGGUGUAGCGGUGAAAUGCUUAGAUAUCACGAAGAACUCCGAUUGCGAAGGCAGCUUGCUGGACUGUAACUGACGCUGAUACUCGAAAGUGUGGGUAUCAAACAGGAUUAGAUACCCUGGUAGUCCACACAGUAAACGAUGAAUACUCGCUGUUUGCGAUAUACAGUAAGCGGCCAAGCGAAAGCGUUAAGUAU
rnacentral:rRNA from 1 species